rnacentral:tRNA from 1 species
GCCUGGGUGGCUCAGUCGGUUAAGCAUCUGACUUUAGCUCAGGUCAUGAACUCACAGCUCGUGGGUUCGAGCCCCGCGUCGGGCU